rnacentral:lncRNA from 1 species
UCCUCCUCGGCUACCGGCGGGAUGACGCUGCUGACGUCCAGCUCUGGGUACAAGGCAUGGACGGCAUCCCGACCGUCCUCGAACCCCACCCGGUACGAGGCGAAGCCCGACUCGAGCAUCUCCUCCCGGUAUUGGUCGGAGGCCCGAAAAUCUUCCACCGCCCGAUCGGCCGACUCUUUCGCCGACCUUGCCUCGUCCUCCGCACGGGCGAGCGACUCCCUCGCCGACUCCGCCUCAGCCUUCGCCAUUUCGGCGUCGAUCUGGGCGAUUGAUAGCUCCUCUUCGGCUUCGGCGAGCUUCUCCAAGCUGACCCG